rnacentral:rRNA from 1 species
AUUGAACGCUGGCGGCAGGCCUAACACAUGCAAGUCGAGCGGAGCGGCGGACGGGUGAGUAAUGCCUAGGAAUCUGCCUGGUAGUGGGGGAUAACGUCCGGAAACGGGCGCUAAUACCGCAUACUAUCAGAUGAGCCUAGGUUGGAUUAGCUAGUUGGUGGGGUAAAGGCCUACCAAGGCGACGAUCCGUAACUGGUCUGAGAGGAGGAUCAGGCACACUGGAACUGGUACACGGUCCAGACUCCUACUGGAGGCGUCAGUGGGGAAUAUUGGCCAAUGGGCGAAAGCCUGAGCCAGCCACGCCGCGUAUGUUAAGAAGGUCUUCGGAUUGUAUAGCACUUUAAGUUAGCAGGCGUUACCAACAGAAUAAGCACCGUCUAACUUCGUGCCAGCAGCCGCGUUAAUUC